UACGGAGGGUGCAAGCGUUAUCCGGAUUCACUGGGUUUAAAGGGUGCGUAGGCGGGUUGGUAAGUCCGUGGUGAAAUCCCCAAGCUUAACUUGGGAACUGCCGUGGAUACUAUCAAUCUUGAAUAUCGUGGAGGUAAGCGGAAUAUGUCAUGUAGCGGUGAAAUGCUUAGAUAUGACAUAGAACACCAAUUGCGUAGGCAGCUUACCACACGAUCAUUGACGCUGAGGCACGAAAGCGUGGGGAGCAAACAGG
rnacentral:rRNA from 1 species